rnacentral:lncRNA from 1 species
CACACACACACUCGCACGACACAUAUAUGACUGUGUUUCUUUGUUUGCAAAAGUUCAUACUGAAGCUAAAUGACAUCUCUGAAAUAGUCCCAAAAAUCCAUGUUUCUACUACACCAUUUUCUUGGUUGCUUUCAAGACUUCAAGUUCAACAACAAUUUCAUCUAUCCAACAUCAAGUGGCAAGUGCUCAUAGAUUAAUGGUUGAGUAUUGAUCUGACAUCUUAGAGCAAAUACAGGUGUAUUUUGCUUCUUAAUAGUCCUUAAACUUAUUAUUUCUAAAUUCCAUUAUUUUUUAAGUAAAAUUACUUGAAGGCAUAUAUUUUUCAAAGCAGUGAAUUUAUAAGUGAAAGCAUGCAUUCCCAUCCAUAUGGGGAUGAAUGCUAUCCUUCUUCACCUUCAUUUUGAAGUUUGCUAGCUUUCCUGCUCUUGCAAUAAGCUUCCUUUCACUUGGUAAGCAAGUUGGGUCGAUAUACUUAGCUGGGCAUCCCCUCGUGUUUUUACUGAGAUGCACUCGACAGAAUUCUGCUGCUUAAUUAUGAAUUAUUUCUUUGUUGUUGUGUUUUCUAUGGUAAGAAGCUGAAAACCCUUGUUGGUGACAUCUAGGAUUGAACACAAUACUAAACAAGAUUGAACACUAUAAUAAGCUAUUUACUUAUUUUUGUUCUUUAAUAACAUGCAUAACUGUCUAAUCCACCUGAAUUAAGGUUCCUGGUUACAGCUGAGCAUGUAUGCCUGAACACAAAUGUAAGUUAAACCUAUUUCUAAGCAAGCAUUUGUUUCCAUACAUAAUUGGGAAUGUUAAUUUAUUCUUAGUUAUAAGCAAAAAAAAAAGUUCUAUUUUACUGUAGCUUGCUUAUUUCCUAAAUUGAUAAAUCAAAAAAGUUAUUUGCUGGAACCUUAUUAAUUUACUUAUACAGUUUGCGGCUUUUCCGAGUUUCCAGUUGGUUCGAGGAGAAAACUAAAAACAACGUGCCAUGGUUGCUUAUUCUUCUUUUUCCCGUUUACUGUGAAAUCUUUUUCAGUACAGG